ensembl:snRNA U1 U1 spliceosomal RNA
AUACUUACCUGGCAGGAGAGAUACCAUGAUCAAGAAGGUGGUUCACCCAGGGCGAGGCUCGGCCAUUGCACUCUGGCCUGCGAGUUCCCCAAAUGCGGGAAUCUUGACUGCGACUUGACUCUUUACGCUAGUGGGGGACUGUGGUUGCGCUCUUCCCUU